rnacentral:misc_RNA from 1 species
GAUGAAGAACGUAGCGAAAUGCGAUAAGUAAUGUGAAUUGCAGAAUUCAGUGAAUCAUCGAGUCUUUGAACGCACAUUGCGCCCCCUGGUAUUCCGGGGGGCAUGCCUGUCCGAGCGUCAUUGCUGCCCUCAAGCACGGCUUGUGUGUUGGGCCGUCGUCCCCCUCCUAGGGGACGGGCCCGAAAGGCAGCGGCGGCACCGCGUCCGGUCCUCGAGCGUAUGGGGCUUCGUCACCCGCUCCGUAGGCCCGGCCGGCGCUUGCCGACGACCAUCAAUCUCUUUCUCCAGGUUGACCUCGGAUCAGGUAGGGAUACCCGCUGAACUUAAGCAUAUCAAUAAGCGGAGGU